rnacentral:rRNA from 1 species
GACGAACGCUGGCGGCGUGCUUAGCACAUGCAAGUCGAACGGAAAGGCCCUGCUUUUGUGGGGUGCUCGAGUGGCGAACGGGUGAGUAACACGUGAGUAACCUGCCCUUGACUUUGGGAUAACUUCAGGAAACUGGGGCUAAUACCGGAUAGGAGCUCCUGCUGCAUGGUGGGGGUUGGAAAGUUUCGGCGGUUGGGGAUGGACUCGCGGCUUAUCAGCUUGUUGGUGGGGUAGUGGCUUACCAAGGCUUUGACGGGUAGCCGGCCUGAGAGGGUGACCGGCCACAUUGGGACUGAGAUACGGCCCAGACUCCUACGGGAGGCAGCAGCGGGGAAUAUUGCACAAUGGGCGGAAGCCUGAUGCAGCAACGCCGCGUGCGGGAUGACGGCCUUCGGGUUGUAAACCGCUUUCGCCUGUGACGAAGCGUGAGUGACGGUAAUGGGUAAAGAAGCACCGGCUAACUACGUG